rnacentral:miRNA from 1 species
CCUAGAACUCACUUUGUAGACCAGGCUCGCCUUGAACUCACUGAGAUCUGCCUGCCUCUGCCUCCCAAGUGCUGGGA